AUUGAACGCUGGCGGCAGGCUUAACACAUGCAAGUCGAGCGGAGAUGAGGUGCUUGCACCUUAUCUUAGCGGCGGACGGGUGAGUAAUGCUUAGGUAUCUGCCUAUUAGUGGGGGACAACAUUCCGAAAGGAAUGCUAAUACCGCAUACGUCCUACGGGGAGAAAAGCAGUGGAUCUUCGGACCUUGCGCUAAUAGAUGAGCCUAAGUCGGAUUAGCUAGUUGGUGGGGUAAAGGCCUACCAAGGCGACGAUCUGUAGCGGGUCUGAGAGGAUGAUCCGCCACACUGGGACUGAGACACGGCCCAGACUCCUACGGGAGGCAGCAGUGGGGAAUAUUGGACAAUGGGGGGAACCCUGAUCCAGCCAUGCCGCGUGUGUGAAGAAGGCCUUAUGGUUGUAAAGCACUUUAAGCGAGGAGGAGGCUACUGAGACUAAUACUCUUGGAUAGUGGACGUUACUCGCAGAAUAAGCACCGGCUAACUCUGUG
rnacentral:rRNA from 1 species